GGAGGCUGAUGGCUAUGGGUUAGAUACUGUGUUGGUUGUUCUCAGUGAGAGAUCAUUGCUGGGAGGUCAUUACUGAAAGAUGAUUGCUGAGAGAGGAGGUUGAUGGCUGAGGUUUAUAUCAGGGGAAGGGGAAGCCACCUAGGGAGUGCUUAGGCAAGAGGCCCACGAGCAUACAUAUACCACCGUCUAGGCACACUAGCUUGCCAGCAGCUCCACGGAGUCCCCCACUCACUUGUUGAUGAUCAGAGGAACACCCACAACUGAAACACACAAAUAGAAAUGUUAUAAAGGGUAAAUAAAAUAAAAUGGCUGCACA